UCUCCGCGACCACAAAACUUACUAUCAAUGCUAGUUUGUACUUAAAAGAUAAUAAAUUGUUAUACAUUUUCCGUUUAUUUAUAUAUAUUUUAGGGGGGAUGGGCUGUUUAAAAAUAAUUUGAGUUUUGCAAUCUUUGUUUUGUACACGUGAUAUAAAAUGUGUUGCAUUAAUACUGUGUCCGUGUAAUCCUUAAGUAAAUCCUGGUGGUUGGGUUCCUGCAUCAGUCCUGCGAGCUGUAGCCAAGAGAGAAUACCCCAAAUUCCUGAAACGCUUCACCUCAUAUGUUCAAGAGAAGACCAGUGAUGAGGUUAUUCUCUUCUGAGCAACACCAGCUUGUUUAAUCUACAUUCCCAGUUUGCUUUCUGUCUCAAAUGAAGAAACGCUUUAUUCACAAGUGCUCUUGACACUCUUCAGAAACCUUUUCAACCCGUAUCCAUACAGACCAAACAACAGCCAAACACCAAAAAUGGUACGAAGCCUGUAAAAGCACCUUUGAAGAGUGCAAACACACUAGAAUAACCAGCACAGCCUGUUCAUCUUCAGAAGGCCUGACUUGUGUUUCCGCAAAUGAGCUGCGGCUCUGGUUUUAUUUAAAUAAUUUACAUUUUUGUAAAUAUUUGAUCAGAGUUUGAGGUCUGACUGUGGUCUUGAUGAGAGAUACAGCAUAGAUGCAUCUUCUCAGCUGUAUGGAGCUUUCUCACUGGCCAUUUGUUUUAGGAAGACCAUUUUCUAGCCCUGAUGAUCAAGAUGUCAUCAGGAACUUAAGUCUGAAGAUCUUUUGUACAGUUUGUAUCUAAAAUGUUUAAGAUUAUUUACAUAUGAAGGCAUUUUGAUUAUUGUAAUUCAUAAAUGUUGCUUUAGGCAAAGUGUACAUUUUAUUGGGAAGUGCUUGUGUAAGACAAUAUUCAAGCAGAGAGGGUAUUUAGGUAGAUGUGAAAAGUUGGCAAUGACUAUUAUUGAACCGUAAUUGCCUCUGUCUUGUUUUUCUUUUCUUGUCAUUUUUUUUUUUCUUGUUUUAAAUUUGUUUCAAUUUAUUUGCGACUUCUUAAAGAAUUGGUUCAUCAUUACCUGUUGGGAUUCCAUCUAUACGAUUUGAGUUGUGCCAUCUAUGCUUAUGAAAGAAGGGGGAUUGAGUUUGGAGUUUCAGUUUAUUUUAUUAUGUUUUGUCACUUUUUGAGUUAAUAAAUUUAGCACAUUUUCUUUUUAACUAUCACUAGUCUUAAAUGGAUAGUUCAUGCAAAAAUGAGCAUUUUACUCAUCCUUUAUAUAUCCAAAUAUAACGACUUUCUUCUGUCAAACAAAAAAGAAAAUGUUAUGAGAAAAUGUUUUUCACCAUGCAGUGGAAGUCAGUGUUACCAAUGAACCAACAUUCUUUAAAAUGUUUGUGUUCUUGUGAAAGUCAUUCAGGUUUGGAACAACUUCAGUAAAUUAUUUGUAUUUUUUAAGUGAACUAUCCCUUUAAAAAAGGCCUCAAGAUUAUGAUUUUUUUUUAGAUGAGAAAUUAAAUGCACAUGUAAAACACCACUGUUUGUUUAAGUAUGCAUCAUAACGUGUUAAAUAUAUUUUCUGUAACAUUGUUUGCACUAAACAAUCUGAUUUUUUUUAUAUAUAUAUAUAUAUAUAUAUAUAUAUAUAAUCCCAUCAUAGUCUUUCCAUACUAAUACUUGAGUUCAGAACGCCUGGUUUGAUGCAUGUAAGGUGCAAAGUAAAGAAUUCACUGCAUUAGUUGCCUGCCACUACAACUUUGCUGCUGCAGUUCUGCUUCGAGCACUUUUAUGUAGUUUACUGCUGUGAAAUUCUUUGCUCAUGACAGCAAGAACAAUAAACUUUCUGAUUUUAUUUUGAGAUUGAUCUACAGAUGUUGAAAGAUUUACGGGGAAAAAAUGCUUUGUAAAUGACUUUCUAAAUGUACGUAGUAUUACCAACUUAUUAAUGGAACCAAAUUUUAUGAAACAAAAGCAUAAUGUUGACUCUUUUCAUUUUAUGUUCUUGCCUAUAGUUUGUUAAUCUCACUUAAGGAUUAUUUCCUGUGUUGUUGAGGUUCAUACAGGAGGAAUAUCUUGCUGUACAAUGCAAUAAACUGACAGUAUCUCA